rnacentral:lncRNA from 1 species
GGUUGCAAGAUGACCACAGGAGAGUGAUGUAUCAGAAGAGAAAAUUCCCACAAGAUAACACAGUAUAGGGAAAGUAAGGACCAAAUCCUGUUCCUGUUGAAACAAUGUCUUCUCUACGUAUAGGAUACCAUGGUAUUUCAAAACUACAAAGAUGAAAAUCUCUGGGAACUCUAGAGAUGAAAAUCCAUGUCCAGCUUUGCAUUGCCAGCAAGCACCUAGUGUUUUCAGGCUACAUAAGGUGAGGCUUCCAGGAUGCAGUUUCAACCCUCCUCCAAUUCCACAUCCCUGUUCCACAUUGUGAUGGAGCCCCUUGGAGCCACAACUGUGUUCUUGUUGGUUUGCGUUGGCUGCCUUCUUGUCUUCUCAGAAUGGAGCAAGAUGUCUGGAACAGUGAAGCUGCUUUAUGGCCAUUAGCUUUGCCCAUCGUAGGAAACGGUGCAGCUGAAGAAUUGAUACUGCCUGAGGCUGCAGAAAAGCUCAGUAAGAAGUAUGGUCCCAUGUUCACAAUGUAUUUGGGCUUGGUACGUACUGUGGUGCUGUAUGGACUUGAUGUUGUGAAGGAAGCUCUGAUUGACAAAGGUGAACAGUUUGGCGAAAGAGGACUUAUGGCGCUCUCACAAAAUUUUCCAAAGGAACAGGUAUUACCUUCAGCAAUGCAGAGCGGUGGAAGCAGCUUCAUUGAUUUGCCCUCACAACCUUACGAAAUUUUGAGAUGGGCAAGAAGAGUAUUGAAGAGCAGAUCCAGGAGGAAGCUCAUUUUCUGGUGGAGAGGUUAA